GACGAACCGUGCGAACGUUGUUCGGAGUCACUGGGCUUAAAGGGCGCGUAGGCGGCCAACUAAGUCAUACGUGAAAUCCCUCGGCUUAACCGGGGAACUGCGUCUGAUACUGGAUGGCUUGAGUUCGGGAGAGGGAUGCGGAAUUCCAGGUGUAGCGGUGAAAUGCGUAGAUAUCUGGAGGAACACCGGUGGCGAAGGCGGCAUCCUGGACCGAUACUGACGCUGAGGAGCGAAAGCCAGGGGAGCAAACGGG
rnacentral:rRNA from 1 species